rfam:Schistosoma curassoni strain Dakar, Senegal genome assembly, scaffold: SCTD_contig0002494
AUCCAGAUGACGAGUCCCAAAUAGGGUGAAACGCACAUCCCGGAU